rnacentral:lncRNA from 1 species
GUCUUUCUGUGUUGCCCAGGCUGGUCUUGAACUCCUGGGCUCAGGUGACAUUGGCCGCCUUGGCCUCCCACGGUGCUGGGAUGACAGGCAUCAGCAGUGUUGAAGCCUGUGAGGUGGGGUCCCUGUGGCUGACUCUGCCCUCUCCUGGGGCCAUUGGCAGUGCAGGGGUCCUUGUGUGUGGAGGAAAUAAGGAGAUGAUCAAAGUAUGAUUCCACGAAUCACACGGUUUAUCGUCAAAGAGGAUUUGUUCUCGGGUUCACAGUGCUCAGAGGGGAGGAGAGGGGAGGAGGUGAAGACGCCUGGCAGGGAAGCAGGGCCUCCAUGGAUGGGGUGCAUUCACGGCAGGGAGGUGAGUGGCAGAAUGGCCAGGGUCCAGUUGCUCUGCUGGGAUGGAGCGGGCCCCUGGAGAGUGAGAUCUGGUGAGAGUUCGAGGUGUGCCUUGGUAGCAGUGGAGAGCGUGAGAGCAGGAGCUCUCUGAGAAGCUGGGACCGAGGUCCAGCUCCCAGGCCAGCAGUGUAUAGCUUGCCUCAAAGCAUCUGCACAACCUUCAAGCUGAUGUCUGUUUUUGCAGUCCAGCAGUCAGGGUCAGUAACUCACAUAAGGGAGUGUCUGACAAGGUUUAAGUGGCAUUCCCAAGGUUGCGGAGUUCACUCAAGUCCUCACAUAUGUGGUCUGAUAAGACAUCACACUCUUGCAGGGGGGUCAGGUCACCCCAAAACAUCAGACUAUGUGAGUGCUGUGAAUCACUUCAAAGCUACACAGCAGGUCCCAGGGCCCGAGGCAGAGGAGUGAGUCCACCUCGGAAGGCUCUGAGCAGCUCCAGGCAGUAACCACGGCAUUUCCAGAGUCUGGCGUGUGAGCCUAACAGCUCUGGUGUGACCGUCCGUACUCACCUAGCAGCACGUGACAUCAGCUCUCCCCCUGAAGUCAUUGCUCAGCUCGGGUGCUGCAGGAAGACAUACAGGUCUGUCUUGGGCCAGCCCCUUGCCUGCUGUGGGCUGCUCCCUGUGUGUGGCCUUCACCCCGGUGUAGAGAGAUGGGCUGGUCACACCCCUGCCCCUCACAGCGGUGAGAGGACAGAGGCAUGUGCCGGGCUGUCUGUGGAGCUCCCGGGCCAGUGUCUGGGAUGCGGCAGGUGCUUGGUGUUAAAGGGAAAAUAUUCCAGGAUACCUGUGAAAGCACGUUAGGCAGAGACCAGGCUUUCAUUCAGAACCUUUGAGAGGUGUGGGAACCACCACACUGCGGUCUUGCAGUGGGAGAGAGGCUGGGCUCAGCUCUGAACAGGCCGUGGGCUGGUGGCGGCUUAUAGCUCCAGAGCUGGGCAGGGGCAGAGGAUGGAAGGUUGCUAAGAGGAACCCCCAGGGGCGAAGGGGAUGCAGGUUAAACUGACCUGCCAGAUCAGGCCGCCCGGGGGACAGUGGAAAAUGAGGCGCCUCAUCAGCUGUCAAGGGUGAUGGGACACGGGAGGAGGUUCUCGCUACACAGACUUCGAGCCGGGCCUGUUAAACCAAGUUCUCACCAGGAUGUGCACAGAGGGCCCAGGAGGAGCCUCGGGAGCCGGACUGCCGUUGGCCAAGCAGGGAGUCUGUUAUCCGUCAGUGGACACUCUGCUUCCAGGUGCCCUGGCCUUGGCCCGCGUCCUGAAGGCGGGAGACGUUGCAGCCACGUGCUGGCCUUCCCGGUGCUCCUGCCAGUGUCCUGCUGCUUGACACAGUCCAAGUUUUGUAUCCAGACCCAGCCUGGGACAGCAGCCUCCCAACAGCCCCCAGGCCCAGCCUGUCUGUGACAGUCACGCCUGCUCAGGGAACCAUCCCUCCGUGCAGAUCUGGGCUGUGUUUUGGGUGGUACCUCGGGUGUGGGGUCCCCUACCAGGCGCGAGGUUCAUACUCCCCAGGCUGCCUCCUGUCCUCAGGGCUUGGAGAGUCCCAUGUUGUGAAAAUGACCUCUUUUCGAGCCGGGCGAGGCCACAUCUCCUUUGGCAGUGUAGUGUCUUCCCUGGAGGUGGCAUUCCUUUUUGAUUUGCCUUCUGUGCUUGGGAACCUCACUUCCUCACUCUGGCCAGCUCUGCCAGCAGUUUGGAGCUGGUCCAGCGCCCCACCGCCCUGCCUUGGCCUGCGCCCGGCCCUCCAGGGUGGCUUCUCGCCAGUUCCUGUCAGGCCUGCCUGGGCAACCAGGCCUGGGCACCUCCCUGUCCCUUGCUCAGAAAACCCACAGGCCAUGGGGGCCCGGGAGCCAAGCCUGGUGUGCGGGCAGGAAACGUAUCCUGGAGCACCAGCUUCCCUGCCCUGCCCGCCUCAGGGGGGUGCCUGGGGGCGUGCCUCAGCCUGCUGCUCCUGUAGUCUGUUCUCCACGCCGGGCCUGUCUCCCUGAGCAGGCUGAACAUGGGCAUACGAGUGACCAGCGUGAUCGUGUCCAGGCCAGUGCCACAUUCUGCGUGGUCCAAGGGAAAACCUUCUCCAAGUCCACGGCCGGCCCUUUCCUCUGCUGGGUUACGGCCAAGGGCGCCAGGCCUCACUGGAGGACAUGGAUCCUGGACCCGGCCCUCGAGGCUGCUGCCUUCCAGUUUCCCCAUGUCCUGGACACUCUUGGUCUCUUUGGGAGGCCGACAGGGGAUGCAGAGUGGCCUGCUGGAAAGGCCUUAUGUGACCCCAGGCUGAGUCCCUGAGCAGCCUGCUGAGGCCGGAGGGGAGAAGAGCUGAGCUUCUCCCUUGCUGGGCCAGGCUCGGGCUGUGGAAUGGCUGCCAGCUCCCUUCCUGGGAGAGGUUGGGUGGGGUCCACAGCACCUUCCUCCCAUCCCACAGGAAGCUGUCUUCUGCUGUUGGCUGCUGGGGGCCACCGAUGUUUGGAUCCCUGAGCACCCUGCCAAUCCCAGACUCACCUUCCCACUCUUUCCAGAGUCCCCAGGGAGACACUUAAGGGAAAUUAAACUGCAGAGUGCAAGAGAUGCCUCAGUCAAGUCAGCCAAAAACACACGGGUCAUCCCCGAGCCCCAGAGAGGUGAGUCGGGCAGGGUGCUCAACUGCCGCAGGAGGAUGGUCUUAUUUCUAGCACUUUCCACAGGAAGUAAAUGUGGUGGGUUUGGGGGGUUUUUCAAAUGCAUCAGUGUCUGGAAUGGGUUCUAAGCUGCUAAAUAAUUCUUAGAGGUAAAUGACAGACAUGUUGCCCUAGAUGUAGCUAGACAGCCUUCCCUCUACAGUGAAGUCUCCUCCACCCUCAGUGACAGAGCCCCGAUGACACGGACACCUCGGCUGCUGUCCCUUCCCUGGUUCGGGCCUCCCACAGCCUUUGAAUUGAAGGCGAGUGCCUCAGAAUUUGCAUCCAUUGUUCUGUCUUUCCCGGGAAGUUAUUCAUCCUGGUGGCCAGCCCACCGACAAAAUGGAUUUGGAUCUACUGGACCUGAAUCCCAGAAUUAUUGCUGCAAUUAAGAAAGCCAAACUGAAAUCGGUAAAGGAGGUUUUACACUUUUCUGGACCAGACUUGAAGAGACUGACCAACCUCUCCAGCCCCGAGGUCUGGCACUUGCUGAGAACGGCCUCCUUACACUUGCGGGGAAGCAGCAUUCUUACAGGUAGGUGGGUCCUGGCAUCUCUGCCAGGGGUGACAUGUGGCUCCAGCAUCAUGGUCCCAGUGGUGCAGGGCGGGGGCUGUGCAGACUUCACCCAGGGACCAGCCUCAGGGCGUGUGGCAGCUGCUCCAGCCCCAGAGUUCCCAUCUUGCUUGUCCUACACCCAUGGGGCUGUGGUCACAGCAUCGGGUCAGAAGAUGCGUGAGGUGGACACAGGGGCUGUGGGGCCUCCUGGGGACCUUGCUCCAUGGACCAGAGGAGGGGGUGCAGGAAGCAGGGGUGGAUUUGGCAGUCAGC